rnacentral:rRNA from 1 species
UAGGGAAUUUUCCACAAUGGACGCAAGUCUGAUGGAGCAACGCCGCGUGAGUGAAGAAGGUUUUCGGAUCGUAAAGCUCUGUUGUUGGUGAAGAAGGAUAGAGGCAGUAACUGGUCUUUAUUUGACGGUAAUCAACCAGAAAGUCACGGCUAACUACGUGCCAGCAGCCGCGGUAAUACGUAGGUGGCAAGCGUUGUCCGGAUUUAUUGGGCGUAAAGCGAGCGCAGGCGGAAUGAUAAGUCUGAUGUGAAAGCCCACGGCUCAACCGUGGAACUGCAUCGGAAACUGUCAUUCUUGAGUGCAGAAGAGGAGAGUGGAAUUCCAUGUGUAGCAGUGGAAUGCGUAGAUAUAUGGAAGAACACCAGUGGCGAAGGCGGCUCUCUGGUCUGCAACUGACGCUGAGGCUCGAAAGCAUGGGUAGCUAACAGG